UACAGAGGGUGCUAGCGUUAAUCGGAUUUACUGGGCGUAAAGCGUGUGUAGGCGGUUUGUUAAGUCGGGUGUGAAAUCCCUGGGCUCAACCUGGGAAUUGCAUUCGAUACUGGCAAGCUAGAGUACGGUAGAGGGCGGCGGAAUUCCGGGUGUAGCGGUGAAAUGCGUAGAUAUCAGGAGGAACACCCGUGGCGAAAGCGGCUCUCUGGGACGGUACUGACGCUGAGACGCGAAAGCGUGGGGAGCAAACAGG
rnacentral:rRNA from 1 species